rnacentral:rRNA from 1 species
AGUGAACGCUGGCGGUAGGCCUAACACAUGCAAGUCGAACGGCAGCACAGUAAGAGCUUGCUCUUACGGGUGGCGAGUGGCGGACGGGUGCGGAAUACAUCGGAAUCUACUUUUUCGUGGGGGAUAACGUAGGGAAACUUACGCUAAUACCGCAUACGACCUACGGGUGAAAGCAGGGGAUCUUCGGACCUUGCGCGACUGAAUGAGCCGAUGUCGGAUUAGCUAGUUGGCGGGGUAAAGGCCCACCAAGGCGACGAUCCGUAGCUGGUCUGAGAGGAUGAUCAGCCACACUGGAACUGAGACACGGUCCAGACUCCUACGGGAGGCAGCAGUGGGGAAUAUUGGACAAUGGGCGCAAGCCUGAUCCAGCCAUGCCGCGUGGAUGAAGAAGGCCUUCGGGUUGUAAAGCCCUUUUGUAGGGAAAGAAAAGCAGCAGGUUAAUACCGCGGUGUUCUGACGGUACCCAAAGAAUAAGCACCGGCUAACUUCGUG